rnacentral:rRNA from 1 species
GAUGAACGCUAGCGGCAGGCUUAAUACAUGCAAGUCGAGGGGCAGCACGAAUAGCAAUAUUUGGGUGGCGACCGGCAAACGGGUGCGGAACACGUACGCAACCUUCCCAAAACUGGUGAAUAGCCCUCCGAAAGGAGGAUUAAUACACCGUACCAUAAUGAGGUGGCAUCACUUUAUUAUUAUAGGCAGCAAUGUCGGUUUUGGAUGGGCGUGCGCCUGAUUAGGUAGUUGGCGGGGUAACGGCCCACCAAGCCUUCGAUCAGUAACUGGUGUGAGAGCACGACCAGUCACACGGGCACUGAGACACGGGCCCGACUCCUACGGGAGGCAGCAGUAAGGAAUAUUGGUCAAUGGACGCAAGUCUGAACCAGCCAUGCCGCGUGCAGGAUGAAGGCCCUCUGGGUUGUAAACUGCUUUUAUCUGGGACGAAAAACGGGCUUUCUAGCUCACUUGACGGUACCAGAGGAAUAAGCACCGGCUAACUCCGUGCCAGCAGCCGCGGUAAUACGGAGGGUGCAAGCGUUAUCCGGAUUUACUGGGUUUAAAGGGUGCGUAGGUGGGUAGGUAAGUCAGUGGUGAAAUCUUCAAGCUUAACUUGGAAACUGCCAUUGAUACUAUUUAUCUUGAAUAUCCUGGAGGUAAGCGGAAUAUGUCAUGUAGCGGUGAAAUGCUUAGAUAUGACAUAGAACACCCAUUGCGAAGGCAGCUUACUACGGGAUUAUUGACACUGAGGCACGAAAGCGUGGGGAUCAAACAGGAUUAGAUACCCUGGUAGUCCACGCCCUAAACGAUGGAUACUCGACAUCAGCGAUACACUGUUGGUGUCUGAGCGAAAGCAUUAAGUAUCCCACCUGGGAAGUACGAUCGCAAGAUUG